rnacentral:sRNA from 1 species
CUUAGAUAUAAUCUAUCUUCGUAUAUGCGCCUUAUAGGCAAACGCUUUAUAGCGCAAAUACAGCAGGACUGUAUCAGCAACACCAGCGUGCUCGACAUGGGACCCGAGCUUAACUAAUUGUUGACACUAUACUAAACUAUCACCAGAUACAUGGGGUAUUUCCAUCGUAUGUACUAUGACCACCACAGCCAAAGCUUUGGGAGGCUAUAUUCCCUAGCAGCCUUUACCGUCGUAAAGUCCGUCAUCAGCCUUGGAUAUCUCAUGGGUGGUGGCCGACGGAACCUAAUGGAUGGAUGUCCGUGGGAGACUGGGGUUUUACGCUACAGCGUCUCGACCCCGAUCCCAAAACUGAGCCUGAAAUGAGCCUGAUAUUGGCUGUCUGAACAGAAUCUGAACGGAUCUGGACCGAUCUGCAAGAAUUGACUCCCCUCAACCAACAUCGUAUUGAAUUCGUGGAGCUUAAACUUAGAAUGGCAGAUCACACCUGCAACAACGAAUGCACUCACGAACUGACUAUGCACUUUACUGCUCUUUCGUCUUCCUCCGACGUCCGUUUCGUUGUUGCCGUUCCCCACACUACAGUUGUACUUAGUGCUGUGUUUUUAUGUUGAUGGGGGUUGGCAGGAAACGAAAGAUCCGCUGGAGAUAAGAACUACGAGCUUCGACAGGAAGUUUGCAGUAGUAUGCCACAUGUCGGAUGAGAUAUCCAUC